AAGCACGUGAUAAUGAUGAUGGAGAUUUUGCCAAAAUCACAUAUUCCAUUUAUCAUGUCUCGAAUAAUGGUUGGGACAAAUUUAGAAUUGAGCCAGAAUCUGGCAUUGUGGAAGUCAUUGGAAAAGUUAUUUCUGGAGAACAGUAUAGCAUUACAGUUCAAGCGACAGAUUCAGGAGGAAGAUUUACACAGAGCAUCUUGGAUGUGAUAGUAAUUCCAGGACCAAACACUAGAGGGCCUAAGUUUCUGAAAGACAGCUAUGAGGUUCAAGUGAGCGAAGGAGCUUCAAUUAAUUCAGCAGUCUUACCUUUAUUGGCUGAGGAUCCUGAAAGUGAUGAUGUUCAUUACUCUAUUAUUGAAGGGAACAUAAAUGGUGACUUUUUUGUAGAUUCCAAGAGUGGAAUAAUCAAAGUAAGUAAGAGUUUGGACAGAGAGGAGAUCUCAGCAUAUACCUUAAAAAUUAAAGCAGAAGAUCCAAGUGGUUUA